rnacentral:rRNA from 1 species
AACGAACGCUGGCGGCAUGCCUAACACAUGCAAGUCGAACGAGACCUUCGGGUCUAGUGGCGGACGGGUGGGUGACGAGGGGGGACCUGCCCGUGAGUUUGCAAUAACUCCCCGAAAGAGGUGCUAAUACCGGAUCAUGUAUUCCGACCAAAGAUGGGUCGCCUUUGGGUGGGCCUGAGUUGGAUUAGCUGGUUGGUAGGGUAAAAGCGUACCAAGGCGAGGAUACAUAGCUGGGUAGAGAGGAAGAUCAGCCACACUGGGACUGGGACACGGCCCAGAAUCCUACGCGAGGGGGGAGUGGGGGAUACUGGACACUGGGGGAUGGCAUGAUGCAGCCAUGCGGGGGAAGUGAUGAAGGCGGUAGGGAAGUAAAGUUAGUUUAGACGGGGCGAUAAUGACGGUACCUGCAGAAUAAGCUCCGGCUAACUCCGUG